rnacentral:misc_RNA from 1 species
GAGAAUAUGCUCCAUUUAACGGGUUCGAAGUAGCCCUUCUCCUCUGGCUCGUCAAUGGGUUCAUAGCUUAGAUCAUCCGAGAGUUGGAGGGCCUUGGGAAGAGUUGAUAGAUGCUGGAGAUGAAUUGCCAAAUGGUCACUCUUCUUCCCCUCCAAAAACAAGCGCACUCCAGUUACUGGACGAUUAUUCGAAUCAACCUUAGUAG